rnacentral:rRNA from 1 species
CCUACGGGAGGCAGCAGUGGGGAAUAUUGCACAAUGGGGGAAACCCUGAUGCAGCGACGCCGCGUGAGUGAGGAAGUAUUUCGGUAUGUAAAGCUCUAUCAGCAGGGACGAAAAUGUCGGUAUCUGACUAAGAAGCGCCGGCUAACUACGGGCCAGCAGCCGCGCUAAUAUGUAGGGGGCAAGCGUUAUCCGGAUUUACUGGGUGUAAAGGGAGCGUAGACGGGUAAGCAAGUCAGAAGUGAAAACCCAGGGCUCAACGUUGGGACUGCAUUUGAAACUGUGUAGCUAGAGUGCAGGAGAGGUAGGCGGAAUUCCUAGUGUAGCGGUGAAAUGCGUAGAUAUUAGGAGGAACACCAGUGGCGAAGGCGGCUUACUGGACUGUAACUGACGUUGAGGCUCGAAAGCGUGGGGAGCAAACAGGAUUAGAUACCCGAGUAGUC